GAGUUUGAUCGUGGCUCAGAUUGAACGCUGGCGGCAGGCCUAACACAUGCAAGUCGAGCGGUAGAGAGAAGCUUGCUUCUCUUGAGAGCGGCGGACGGGUGAGUAAUGCCUAGGAAUCUGCCUGGGUAGUGGGGGAUAACGUUCGGAAACGGACGCUAAUACCGCAUACGUCCUACGGGAGAAAGCAGGGGACCUUCGGGCCUUGCGCUAUCAGAUGAGCCUAGGUCGGAUUAGCUAGUUGGUGAGGUAAUGGCUCACCAAGGCGACGAUCCGUAACUGGUCUGAGAGGAUGAUCAGUCACACUGGAACUGAGACACGGUCCAGACUCCUACGGGAGGCAGCAGUGGGGAAUAUUGGACAAUGGGCGAAAGCCUGAUCCAGCCAUGCCGCGUGUGUGAAGAAGGUCUUCGGAUUGUAAAGCACUUUAAGUUGGGAGGAAGGGUUGUAGAUUAAUACUCUGCAAUUUUGACGUUACCGACAGAAUAAGCACCGGCUAACUCUGUGCCAGCCC
rnacentral:rRNA from 1 species